GUAACCUCGCGGCGGGCGUGCAGACCGGACGCCCUCCCGCUUCUUCUACCGACUGCUAGGCACACCAGUGGGUUCAUUUUGAAAGAGGCCCUUGCACCGGGCUUUGCAAGGAAGCCGGCAAGGUUAGAUUGAAGGUUAGAAGCCAAUUAGACUAGAAUCCUGCGAUCUGGUGAGACUGCCGCCUUAAAAUGCACCAAACAGUUUUUGAACCUGGAGGGCUAACAGGCGGGAAAAACAUCUGCAAGACUGCCACCGUGUAUUUUUCUCAAGUAACAGGCUAUCCACAGUUUUGGAAUUCCUUAGUGAAACUGUCACACAGGCACAAACACAUGUCAGCUUUCCUUCUAGUUUGUAAAUAAUAUUUGUAAUUUACAGGCCACUGUAUUCCCAACUUUGCACCAUGUGAUUUAGAGAAAGCAAAGCUCCCUCUUUAAAAAUAAUAUGUUACUUCUGAAAUACCGGGAUAUUCCACGGCAAGUAAGCCAUAUUGUCGCCAGAGCAAAUAAACCGCAGCCCCAUAUCAUAAUUCACUGGGUGCUAUAAGAUGUAACUUGGCUUUGCUUUGAAUGGAAAGAAUCCUGAACGUCUGUGAUGUGAUGAAGUUUUGGAGACUGGGGGCAGGAUUUCCUUUGAAUGUAAGGAAUUCGGAUAACUUGUUCAAGGAUGAUUCUAGUGAAAAACGUUUGUCCCAUGUUUGUUGGGACAAAAAUGCUGGAUAUGGUACAACAUUCUUCCUGCAGGUUCGGUUUUGUUGAAGAGAGUGAGGCCAGCUCGAGGUGAAGGAAAAACAUCAGAAAGGUGCUAAAGUGCAGAAAUAUCUUCCAGAGGCACUAAUAGCCGACUUUAGUUCUUGACCUUUAGCUAGAUCCACAAAGCACUGAGUUAAAAUUGUACACUGAUCCCUUCCAGAACAAAUUAAUUAAUUAAAUGGUGCCUCUUCCCAGCGUUAAUCGUUUAAAAGGACUCAAGUACCCACACAGUUUAAGCAAACUAAAAGAACACUGACACUUUCUCAGAGAACAGGGAUGGGAACUUUCUAUCUGCCCAUUAGUAUCUACCCCAAGCUACGAAGACUUCCAUUCCUCUUAUUAAGCAUUCAGCAACUACAUUUAGUGCCUACUAUGCCAGUGAUGCAAGAAUGGAUAAGACAGUCCCUACACUCAAGGAUAACGCCUCUAGUAGGUGAGAGACAAACCGAUUAAUUCUGCAUAAGGGAUAAGUGCUGUAUGUGGGAAGCAAUCCAAUGAGGGCUCUGAGGAUGGCAAAGGAAGGGUUCCUGGAGGAUUUACAUUUAACUGGUGCCUUGAAAGGUGUGUAGAAGUUGGCAAGAUCAAAAGGGAGUAGAGUCCAGGUGGAGAAGAGAAAAGAGCAGGGCAGGCUGGAUGGCAUGGCUCACACCUGUAAUCCCAGCACUUUGGGAGGCCAUGGAGGGAGGAUUGAGGCCAGGAGUUUGAGACCAGCCUGGGUGACAUUAAAAGACCCUGUCUCAAAGAAAACGAAAGGAGCAGGGUAUAUACAAGGGGUCUGCCAGCCUUCUCAGCCUUUCUGUGAGAAGCGAGGGUAGGGUAGUACAGGAGAGUGGCAGGAGAUGACACUAAAAGUAGGUCUGUGUUGAUCUAACGAGUCUCAACUUUACUGCCAAAACUAAUGAACUAGGAAAGUUUAGGCAGCAAGGGCCAGAGAUGGAGUCUGGACUUGUAUUGCAGAAAGUUCCUGUGACGGCAGCUUGGAGGGUGAAUGAGAGUGUGGGAUGGAGGGGUGAAUGGGUGUGGACAGACUGGAAAAAUGACUCAUGCAGGGAAUGAGGAAGGGAGGAGCCUUGGGAGACUCUCAAAUCCCUGGCUUAGCCUACUGAAUUGCUUGCUACUUGCCUUUUUAUGUCUUCAUUUUGCCUCCCAUUGUCUGUGAUAUUAAAGGCCUAACUUCUUAGUAGAGCAAACUUUGCAUCUGCUAGCAGGUUGGUGCCCUAGCUAGCUUCCAUGCCCCUCUGCUUAGAAUGCCUGCGAACCACUAAGGACUAAUCCUAGUGGUAGAAAUUUAUUUUCAAUUGUUCUCAAACCCUUGUAGAAUUCCAAGUUAGAACUGUAGUGUUCUUUUUUCAUGUGGGUUAGAAAAUUUGCUGUUUGGAGCAACAUGGUGAAACACAGGACUUUUGAACCUGCUUAUGGUGCAAAAGGGGAAAUUAUAUUUCUACUUCAACACUGGAGGAGGGGGGACUUCUGGGAGCAAAAGAGAAAUGGAAACUGAGAUGAGACAUGUUUUUUACUCCAUGACAGAAUACAAAGAAAUACAAGGAUGAUCCUUUAAUGUUAGAAACAGUAGAAUAACCAUCCUGGUAAAUAAAAAAGGAGAAAAAAUGUUAUUUUACAUUAGAUACAGAAAAACAGAAUGGCUAAGAAAACUCACAAAGCAAUGGUCAAUCUAUAACUCGAGUCCAAAUAAAUUGUGAUAUAACACUAAAUUACCACUGAUUUGGCCUAAUUGACUAUCACUGGAUAACAUUAUAACAUGAAUGAUAAUAUUUAAAAUUUUAAAGCACUGUAACAAACACCAGAUCAUGUUAAAACUAUUCAAUCAUGUUGUCAGCUUUCAACUGCCAGUAGCAUCCUAACCACAUUUCAAACUAUGGAAAUUACUAAAAAAUCAUUAUUGUAAUAAAAAGUUAAUAGUUCCUCAUUUAGAAUACCAUUGAUAUUCCCUCAGUGCCAGGAGAACAUUAUGGUUUCUCCUAUUUCUGUGAAGUGUAUAGUCUACAGGUUCAUAAGUGAGUAUAUCCAUGAGUAUAAAAAGAAGGUCAUUUAUGGGUGGAGAGGGAAAUUAUAGAAAACAAUUUCAGAUGAAAUAAACUACAUUUUCAGAUAAAGGAAAGAGUGUUCACUGCAGGUUCCUGAAAUAUUUCAGUCCAUUCAAGUUUUAAUUAUACCAAUGAAUCUCAAUAAAAAUACAGUUAAGGAAUAUGGUUUUUAUAGAUAAUGUCAGCUCCUUGUUUACCAAUAAUAAAGAUAAAGAUAAUGGCAGCAUUUAUCUUUUUCAGUCCAAUGGGGAUAUUUAAGGUACCUAUGUAAGUGUGUGAGUGCCUGUGUGAAUUGUGACUUACUUCUUCUGCAUACCACAUUCAUAGCUCAAUAAGCUCUCACUGCCUCUGCAAUAUAACUUGUCUUUCCUGACACACACACACACACACACACACACACACACACACUCUCACACAAACAAAUCACCUAAAUAAAAAUAUCUCAAGGAGGUAUACUCUUUUAAAAUGCUAUUUUUAUUAUACCAGGAUAAAAAUAAUUGAUUGAAAGAUGGUGUCAAAACCAGAACCUAGUCUCAUGUCCUGUGCUUCCUAAUCAAUAUUUAAAUAUAGAUGGUCAAGAGAAGAUGACUCUAAAAGGCAAUCAAAAGUUGCAAACAUUCUUGUAUGGAGAAUCAAGUUUAAGUAGAUGCAUUAAAUUUAUCACAUUAAACUUCACAACAGGGUUGAGGAGAGAGGUGAGACCUUCUUUUGUAGAAUUCAAACUUGUUCAGAUAUUUGAAUACAUAUACUUGAGAGAAAGAAUUACAUGAAUUUAGUUUAUCUUCAAGGACCUUUAUAUAUUUCAUACACAACACAAUUUGUAAUGGAAGCUGGAGAGUUGGCCCUUGACCAAAGCCUUGCAGCUAACAAGAGGACAAGCCUCCUGCCCCACAGUGUUUCACAGCCAGUACCCCAAGCUCCUGAAUUCAUCUGUCUAAUGUGUAAUAUAUUUAUAAACACUCUACCUGGGAUGUAUGCGUACCUUCUACUAUGGACUGUUGUUAAAGACAAGUAAAUAUGCAAUCGUGGUCUUUCAAUAAACUAAACGGAUAUAAAAAUAAAUAUAGAAUACAGCCAGAAGAUCAAAAUUGACAUAUUAUCUAUUUAUGCUUAUAAUAUGUAAUUACAUGUAAUAUUGUAAAACACUUUCUACCAUUUCAUAAAAUUCUGUGUUGUUAUUUAGCCCAGAAUUCCCUUGCAAUCUUUUAAAAAUAGUAUCUAAUAGGGCUUUUAAUAUAAAUGUCGUAGUGAAACUGUUUUAUGUACUGUAACCCAAACAUUUCUACGUAGUAACACUGUUCCAUAUAGAAAACAAAUAUGAAAAAAUAUGGCCAUUGUCUUAUUUAUUUCUAAAGGUAAACCAAUCUUUGACAAUGCCAAUAGCAGUGUCAAUGUUCCUAAAUGUUGGCUGUAUCUAUCUACUUACUCAUUGUAUUCUUGAGGUUCCUUUCCUUUGGUUUCUAUGAUAUUCCACAUCCCUCUCUUUUCAUUCCAUUGUGUGAGUUCUCUCUGUGGAUCUUUUGUUAGCUCCUCUUAUUCCUUCUUGCCUAUCUGAGUUUCCUGAAAUUACCUUCAAAUCAUGUCUCGAAAGAUGUUCUAAAGAGACCUUUGAAUAAGAACAACAUUUGUCCCAUUAAUAAAUGGUGGGAGUUUCAUAUAUCUGUUUCUUUUUCUCUUCUUUCCUCUUUGCCUUGUCCAAAAGAGUGGGAACUGAGCAGUACAGUCAUAAAUUAAUUUUAAUAUAUUAACUUAGGCAUCAGUACACUGGCUAUUGUUCCUUAAUACAUUUAACACAUAGUCAUUGACUGCUGAUUAUGUGCCAAGGGCUGUGCUUGGCACUGGGGAUAAAGAAGUUAUUAAGUCUUUUGCAAGGUGUUCAUAGUCUAGCGGUUGGGGACAGACGUGAGGGAAAAAUCACAGUUGGAAAAGAGCGUAGCAAAUGAAACCAUUCAGUUAAAUUCAACAAACCCUGCGUGCUUACCAUGUGCCAAGCAGAUGGCAAGGAGGAUAGGACUGGGCAAGGCCUUGCUCCUCACGGACUCCCAAGCAGCUGGCAAAUGGUAAAACUACCUGAUACUUGUUAAGAGCUUCAUGGCAGAAAGAAAGUCAGAAAAAAAGUCAUGAAAGGCUAUUGGACAGACAAGAGGCUUGAUCAGAAAAACACUUUUAACAAAUAUUGUCCUAGCAACAUGAGGAGAAAGUUUGUUGUUCAGAUUUUUCAUGCUGUCAUUAUGGAAAGCUUACUACAUGUCAGGUUUCUUUCCUAGAGGCUGAGGCUUCCUUGGCUUGCCUCAGUGAAUCCCAAACUGGCCUUGCAACUCUCUCUCUUUGCCUCCCCUAGGCUUUCGGUAACAAAUCCUCAACUAGGUGAUAGGAGAUUAUCUGAUUAAAGUCAUUCACACUAAGGCGAGAAUGAGGCUUAAUCCCUCAAGAGCGUUUGCUUUAACAAAGGAUAGCUUGUUAACCCUAAUGAACUGCUCAUUGGAAGAACUCUGCAGAAGGAUCCCUCCUCCUCACCUUCCCAGACUUGCCAACCCCAUGUCCUUCCUUUUUAUUUGUCUUUCAUGAAGCAAAGGAGUAAUGAAAGUGUUAAGGACUCUAAGGUCACACAUUAUCUCCUUGAACUUAAAACAAGAGGUAUGUGAGGUAAUUAUGACCCCAUGCUCAUAAUGAGGAGACUGAAACUAGGGCGGUGGUUCUUAACCCUGACUACAUUUUGGAUAGGCCGGCUGCAACUCAGACAAAUUAAAUCAAAAUUUCUGGGAGGGGCAUCCAAGCGUCUGUAUCUUUUUUAAGCCCCUUAGAUGAUUUCAAAGCGCAGCCAAGGUUGCCAGCUUCUUGCCUAAACUCUGCAAGAAGCUAGAGUUUAGGAAAUGGAAAUUAACCAGAAUAGGUAGCAAUCCAUUGACCUGUUCCAUUUUUUCCUUUGGCAAGUAAAGUUUAUUUGGCUCAAUAGAAACAGAAUUAUCUGCAGGAAACUCGAUCUCAUAUAGAAUUAGAUUUGGGUAGGCUGGUGCCCAUAUGCAUCUAGAAAUGAGGGAGUUAGGACUAGCUGUGGAUAGCUAAACUGGUGGUGCAAGGUGGUACAUUUUGUCAUGCACAUGCUUGGAAGUGGUGCUUCUUAGGCAACCAAAAUAUGUUUCACUUUAUGCCGGGUAAGCAUUAGUGGUCCAUAGGAUUAAAAACAGAUAAGACAAAGAGUUAAGAUCACACAAAGGAGAAUCCUACAUAUUCUAAAAUGCUUAGUUUGCUGUUUGUUUAAAAUUCUAUACCCUGUCUCUUGCUAAGAAAUUGUGAUUAUAAGCACCCCCUUGAGAGUGACAUCAGAGCCUCUGAGAGAUAAAGUGUGUCCUUGGCCACUUCCUUUUGAAGAUAUACAUAUCUUCACCAGUUACAUACUCAUACAUGUAAUUAUGUGUAUUCAACAAAAGCUAUUCUGUACAUUCAAUAUAUUUUAUAAAUUCGUUCAAUAAAUUAACAUAGUUAAAUUAUAAACACAAACAAGUUAGCAGAACAUACCUCACUUGAAACUCAUUUGAAGAUAAUGCUAGACAUCUUAGUUUAUGGCCUUCGUGAAUGUGCCGUCAGUCCAGUUGACCCUCCUGGCCCCACCUGGAUGGAUCUGAAUGCCCAUGUUUCUGCAAUGGGCUUAGCAAUGAGUAACUGCUGACAGGGCCUGAUUCCAUCGAGCCCUCCCAGUAAUGAAUGUGUUUUUAGACAAUGUGGAGCAUUCUUUUCCUUUUUCAAACUUUUCUGGCCAUAGGUCACCAGCUCACCAGUUACUGCUGCAUUUUCAUUCUAAACCUUAUUGCUAUCAACUUUCCUAUCCAGUCUACAAUAGUCACUGAGCACCUGGCAUAAUUCCAGUCUUUCCUAGAGUCUGAGGCUACAUGGUAAGAAAAACUAGACCUGAAGCCUCUUGAAAUAUGCAGUAUAACAAGGACAAUGAAUAUGAAAUGGUAAAUAAUUAUGAUCAACUAAGUAAAUAAUAUAAAUGUGCAAAAUUUAGUGAAUGAGAAAAAUGAGAGUGUGUAUCUGGUGAAUCUAAACAGAUAAACAAUUAUAAUUAUUUUAUUGCUCUCUCCCUUUUUUAUUGAAUUCAAAUGUCUCACAUUAUAGUUGAAAGUCUUCACAGUAUUUGUACUACAUGUGCACAUUGAAUUCUUCUUCAUUUGUAAGGACAGAAUUCUAUUACUAGUUGCAUGAAAUAGUGACUAUUUGUGUUAAGUGGCAAGGUGUCCAUCACAUAGCCUCUAAAGGCAGGGUCGGAAGAAAUCUCUGACUGAUCAUUAGUACUAUGCUCUUGCUGUUGCAGUCUUUGGUGUUACUGUCAUUCACUUCCUGGGCUUAAUCUUUUAAGGGUAUGAUAUCUACAGACAAAGCUAGCCAGCUUAUCUUUGAUAACUUCAAGAAGUACAGCAUGUCGGCUUUUGGAUUAAUAUUUGAAAAUAAAAUAAAAAUUUAAUUUUAUUAUCACUUGUUUUGUCAAAAAUCAAAGGCUCUUUUAAAAUCUUUUUUGGCUGGAUGUAAAAUGAUUUUUUUCUGUUUCUGGAUAUAAGGUAAC
rnacentral:lncRNA from 10 species